CACAGAGACCAAGGGAAGGAGGGUUCGAAGAAUGUGAAUAACUGAAGAUUCCACAUACAACCAACCGCCAACGUAAACUAGGGGCUGAACUUUGGACUUGACAAGUGGAUGGUGGAGGAUCUGUGGGUUAGUGUCCCUCAAGGAAGAUAACCUGCUCUCCUGUGGUCUGAGAGAAUGGGGGUUUGGUGAGGAGAACCCCAGCAGAGCAGUCUUUCCAGUGAAUUUGCCGGAAUAGCCUCUGGUUCCAGAAUGAGGAGACAGUUGGAAUAGAUCUGAACACAACUGGCAGCUUGGAGACAAGCCUGGUUCCAGCCACCCAAGAGAAUCAUAGCCAACCUGCACACCCGUAAGCAAUAAAUUAAGUGUUUAUUGUUGC